rnacentral:rRNA from 1 species
AACGAACGCUGGCGGCGCGCCUAAUACAUGCAAGUCGAGCGAGAAGACGUAGCAAUACGUUUGUAAAGCGGCGAACGGGUGAGGAAUACAUGGGUAACCUACCCUCGAGUGGGGAAUAACUAGCCGAAAGGUUAGCUAAUACCGCGUACGCUCCUUGGACUUCGGUUCAGGGAGGAAAGCGAUACCGUGGGUAUCGCGCUCUUGGAUGGGCUCAUGUCCUAUCAGCUUGUUGGGAGGUAACGGCUCACCAAGGCUUCGACGGGUAGCUGGUCUGAGAGGACGAUCAGCCACACUGGCACUGCGACACGGGCCAGACUCCUACGGGAGGCAGCAGUAAGGAAUAUUGCGCAAUGGGCGAAAGCCUGACGCAGCGACGCCGCGUGGGGGAUGAAGGUCUUCGGAUUGUAAACCCCUUUCGGGAGGGAAGAUGGAUGGGGUACCCAUUCGGACGGUACCUCCAGAAGCAGCCACGGCUAACUUCGUGCCAGCAGCCGC